UUUCCGUAGGUGAACCUGCGGAAGGAUCAUUAAAAAAUUGGACUCCAUUGGUGAGUUCAUUAAUAAUCCCUACCCUUUGUGAAUUUGUUUGUUUGAAUAAUUUUUUUUCCAAAAAAAAUUAUUGAAUGUCUUUCCCUGUUUUGGUGGAGCUUGUAAAGUGAAACCAGGCAGGGGAAUGGCAAACAAUAAUUAUUUUUGAAAAAAGACCUUUUUUUAAAAUUAAACUUUUUGUAUUCAUUUGUCUAAAAUUAUUUUUAUAAUAUAAAAACAACUUUUGACAAUGGAUCUCUUGGUUCUCGCAACGAUGAAGAACGCAGCAAAAUGCGAUAAGUAGUGUGAAUUGCAGAAUACGUGAAUCAUCGAAUCUUCGAACGCAUAUUGCACUUUUUUAGUUUACUAAAAAAGUAUGUCUGUUUGAGUAUCAGUAAAAUAUUCUCAUAAAAAACAUUGUUUUUUUAUGGUUAUGAGUGUUUUACAACGAUAACAAGUUAUUUCACUUUAAAUUCUUUGUUAUCAAAAAAUCAUUAAAAGCUAAUUUUAAAGAUUUUUUAAAAUUGGAUAAAAUUUUCCCGUAAAAAGGAAUAACCUAAACAAUUUUAAAAAAUUAAAAUUGGUUUGAUUUCUUUUGAAACCCAAAGGGAAAAAAAACGAAAUUAACUUGAUCUCAAAUCAGAUAAGAGUACCCGCUGAACUUAAGCAUAUCAAUAAGCGGAGGAAAAGAAACUAACUAGGAUUCCCUCAGUAACGGCGAGUGAAGCGGGAAGAGCUCAAAUUUGAAAUCUUCAAGGUUUUACCUUGACGAAUUGUAGUUUAAAGAAGUGUUUUCUGUUGGAGUUUUGGUAAAAGUUCUUUGGAAAAGGACAUCAUAGAGGGUGAGAAUCCCGUAUUUGACCAUUAUCUCCAGCUUUGUGAUACACUUUCAAAGAGUCGGAUUGUUUGGGAAUGCAGUCCAAAAUGGGUGGUAAAUUUCAUCUAAAGCUAAAUAUUGGCGAGAGACCGAUAGCGAACAAGUACCGUGAGGGAAAGAUGAAAAGAACUUUGAAAAGAGAGUUAAACAGUACGUGAAAUUGUCAAAAGGGAAGCGUUUGACACCAGUGUUGUUUUCCGAAAAUCAAUUAAAAAGGUUUUGUUUCUGGUGAUGACUUCAUCAGCUUCUUCUCUUUUCUCGACUUUUGUAAUGCACUUUUCGGUUAACAAGUCAACAUCAAUUUCUUUUGUUGUAAAAGGUCAUUGGAAGGUGGCUUUCUUUUCGGAGAAAGUGUUUAUAGCCUUUGCCUCUACAAUCAGAGAGAUUGAGGUCUGCAGCGUAGAUCCUUCGGGGUUAGAUACAUUUGUGCUAAGUUAUAGCUUUCAUAGACAACUUGUUGACUAUGUUCAGUCUUGUAGCUUACUCGCUUGUGCUAUUU
rnacentral:misc_RNA from 1 species